rnacentral:tRNA from 1 species
GCGGGGAUGCCGGAGCGGUCAAACGGGCUGGCCUUAGGAGCCAGUGGCUGAGUGCUUUCGGGGGUUCGAAUCCUCCUCCCCGCA